AUUUAUAUAGUAUACAAAGUAUCUUUGACUUCCAAUCAAAAGGUCUAAAUUUUAGUAUAAAUA
rnacentral:tRNA from 1 species